rnacentral:rRNA from 1 species
GACGAACGCUGGCGGCGUGCUUAACACAUGCAAGUAGAACGGAAAGGCCCUGCUUGCAGGUGACUCGCGAGGCAAACGGGUUUGUAACCCGGGGGUGAACUGCCCUGCACUUCGGGUUAAGCCUGGGAAACUGGGUCUAAUACCGUAUAUAAUCUCCCAUGUUGUUAGUUGUGGGGUAAGAUUUAUCGGUGUGGGAUGAACGCGCGGCCUCUCAGCUGGUUGGUGGGGUAAUGGCUUAUAGAGGCGUCGACGGGUAGCCGGCCUGAGAGGGUGGAAGGCCACAUUGGGACUGAGAUACGGCCCAGAGUCCUACGGGAGGCAGCGGUGGGGAAUAGUGCAAAAUGGGCGGAAGCCUGAUGCAGCGACGCCGGGUGGGGGAUGACGGCCUUAGGGUUGGAAACCGCUUGCGACAGGGACGAAGCUUCGGUGACGGUACCUGUAUAAGAAGCACCGGCUAACUACGUG